rnacentral:sRNA from 1 species
GCCGUUAUGCAUCGUAUUAUAUUUUUGCAAGCCGAUUUUUCCAAAGAUUUAAUCGUUUGGAUGAGUAAUGAUGAGUAAAAGUUAUAAUCGUUGUGAAUGGUGAAUUAACACAUGGCUAGUUAUUGCCAAUAGGAGGAUUUUUUCUUAUGAAAAACGGUAAAGUUAAAUGGUUUAACGCUGAAAAAGGUUUCGGAUUCAUCGAAGCUGAAGAUGGAAACGACGUAUUUGUACAUUACUCUGCUAUCCAAACUGAAGGUUUCAAAUCUUUAGAAGAAGGCCAAGAAGUAUCUUUCGAAGUUGUUGAAGGUGCUCGUGGACCACAAGCUGCUAACGUAACUAAACUAUAAUUGACAAACUAAUAAUGAAACAGUCCUGUUCUAUUGGCGGGACUGUUUUU